GAUGAAGAACGCAGCGAAAUGCGAUAAGUAAUGUGAAUUGCAGAAUUCAGUGAAUCAUCGAAUCUUUGAACGCACAUUGCGCCCUCUGGUAUUCCGGGGGGCAUGCCUGUUCGAGCGUCAUUAUAACAACUCAAGCUCUCGCUUGGUAUUGGGGUUCGCGGUUCCGCGGCCCCUAAAAUCAGUGGCGGUGCCUGUCGGCUCUACGCGUAGUAAUACUCCUCGCGAUUGAGUCCGGUAGGUCUACUUGCCAGCAACCCCCAAUUUUUACAGGUUGACCUCGGAUCAGGUAGGGAUACCCGCUGAACUUAAGCAUAUCAAUAAGCGGAGGA
rnacentral:misc_RNA from 1 species